UUUGGAUACCCUUGUUAAAUUUUAGCAGCUAAAGUUUAGCAACUUUUAGCAAAAAAUUUGCCAAACACUCUUGCUAAAGUUUGCUAAACUAUGGUUGCUAAGCUUUAGCCCUUUAGCAAGUUUUUGGUUGCUAAACCUUGCUAAAAGGUGGGGUGGACACCCUUUGCUCCUCAUUAUUGCUUGUCUGUUUAGCAUUCAUUAAGGGCAAAUAGGUCUUUAUCCACCUCAUUAAAUGUUGUUUAGCAAAGGUAUCCAAACAGCCUUGACUAAACUUUAGCAACUAAAGUUUAGCACCUUUUAGCUGCUAAAGUUUAGCAAAGGUAUCCAAAC
rnacentral:lncRNA from 1 species